AGCACAGAGUUGGGAGUGACUCCAGAGCCUCCUGCAAGAUGCUGUUGAUUCUGCUGUCAGUGGCCUUGCUGGCCCUGAGCUCAGCUCAGAACUUAAAUGAAGAUGUCAGCCAGGAAGAAUCUCCCUCCCUAAUAGCAGGAAAUCCACAAGGACCAUCCCCACAAGGAGGCAACAAGCCCCAGGGCCCCCCACCUCCUCCAGGAAAGCCACAAGGACCACCCCCACAAGGAGGCAACAAACCUCAAGGUCCCCCACCUCCAGGAAAGCCACAAGGACCACCCCCACAAGGGGACAAGUCCCGAAGUCCCCGAUCUCCUCCAGGAAAACCACAAGGACCACCCCCACAAGGAGGUAACCAGCCCCAAGGUCCCCCACCUCCUCCAGGAAAGCCACAAGGACCACCCCCACAAGGAGGCAACAGACCUCAAGGUCCCCCACCUCCAGGAAAGCCACAAGGACCACCCCCACAAGGAGACAAGUCCCGAAGUCCCUGAUCUCCUCCAGGAAAGCCACAAGGACCACCCCCACAAGGAGGUAACCAACCCCAAGGUCCCCCACCUCCUCCAGGAAAGCCACAAGGACCACCCCCACAAGGAGGCAAGAAACCUCAGGGUCCCCCACCUCCAGGAAAGCCACAAGGACCACCCCCACAAGGAGACAAGUCCCGAAGUUCCCAAUCUCCUCCAGGAAAGCCACAAGGACCACCCCCACAAGGAGGCAACCAGCCCCAAGGUCCCCCACCUCCUCCAGGAAAGCCACAAGGACCACCCCCACAAGGAGGCAACAAACCUCAAGGUCCCCCACCUCCAGGAAAGCCACAAGGACCACCCGCACAAGGAGGCAGCAAGUCCCAAAGUGCCCGAUCUCCUCCAGGAAAGCCACAAGGACCACCCCAACAAGAAGGCAACAAUCCUCAAGGUCCCCCACCUCCAGCAGGAGGCAAUCCCCAGCAGCCUCAGGCACCUCCUGCUGGACAGCCCCAGGGACCACCACGCCCUCCUCAAGGGGGCAGACCUUCCAGACCUCCCCAGUGACAGCCUCCCCAGUCAUCUAGGAUUCAAUGACAGGAAGUGAAUAAGAAGAUGAGAGUGAUUCAAAUGAUUCAAAUUCCAUGACAUUGGAAAAAGGUCAUCAUAGCUCUAACUUCAAUAUACCAAUAAAAUAAUCAGCUUGCAA